rnacentral:tmRNA from 1 species
GGGGGUGAACAGGGUUCGACGGGAAUGUGAUAAGUAAUGACAGCAGGCCGGAGUUGGUCGAUGGCUCCGUAAAAAUCGACCGAAAAUAAACAACGAUAAAAUCGUUCCAAUGCAAAGCGUUAGACCUUUUAUGGGUUUAGGCGCAAUGCCAAUAGCUGCUUAAUGUAGCUACGUUUUACCUUUGACACCUGCUAUUAGGAUAAAACGACAAGAGCAGGUUAGCUUUAAAUGGCUUGUACCGUCACUUUAAAGCAAAAUUAAAACGGUACUGGUUUAUAGCAUAGUUCUGUUCGGAAAUAGCGCUAUAAACAAGAUAUAAUUCCGAACUAAGCCUGUAGGGGUCUUAUUUAGCCAUUUUCGGACGCGGGUUCAAUUCCCGCCACCUCCACCA